rnacentral:rRNA from 1 species
AUUGAACGCUGGCGGCAUGCUUUGCACAUGCAAGUCGAACGGUAACAGGCCUUCGGGUGCUGACGAGUGGCGAACGGGUGAGUAAUGCAUCGGAACGUGCCCAGAGGUGGGGGAUAACGCAGCGAAAGCUGUGCUAAUACCGCAUGUGAUCUGAGGAUGAAAGCGGGGGACCAGGCAGCAAUGUUUGGCCUCGCGCCUUUGGAGCGGCCGAUGUCAGAUUAGGUAGUUGGUGGGGUAAAGGCCUACCAAGCCGACGAUCUGUAGCUGGUCUGAGAGGACGACCAGCCACACUGGGACUGAGACACGGCCCAGACUCCUACGGGAGGCAGCAGUGGGGAAUUUUGGACAAUGGGCGCAAGCCUGAUCCAGCAAUGCCGCGUGCGGGAAGAAGGCCUUCGGGUUGUAAACCGCUUUUGUACGGAACGAAAAGGCUCUGGCUAAUACCUGGGGCUGAUGACGGUACCGUAAGAAUAAGCACCGGCUAACUACGUG